UACGUAGGGGUCUAGCGUUGUCCGGAAUUAUUGGGCGUAAAGAGCUCGUAGGCGGUUCGGCAAGUCGGAUGUGAAAUCUCCACGCUUAACGUGGAGGGGCCAUUCGAAACUGCCGUGACUCGAGUCCGGUAGGGGAGUGCGGAAUUCCCGGUGUAGCGGUGAAAUGCGUAGAUAUCUGGAGGAACACCGGUGGCGAAGGCGGCAUCCUGGACCGGCAUUGACGCUGAGGCGCGAAAGCCAGGGGAGCAAACGGG
rnacentral:rRNA from 1 species